AUUGAACGCUGGCGGCAGGCUUAACACAUGCACGUCGAGCGAGCGGCGGACGGGUUAGUAAUGUCUCGGACACUGCCUGAUGGAGGGGGAUCACUAAUGGAAACGGUAGCUCCUACCGCAUACCAUCAGAUGUGCCCAGAGGGGAUUAGCUAGUGGGUGGGGGAAUGGCUCACCUAGGCGACGAUCCCUAGCUGGUCUGAGAGGAUGACCAGCAAAACUGGAACUGAGACACGGUCCAGACUCCUACGGGAGGCAGCAGUGGGGAAUAUUGGACAAUGGGCGAAAGCCUGAUGCAGCCAUGCCGCGUGUGUGAAGAAGGCCUUCGGGUUGUAAAGCACUUUCAGUGAGGAGGCGUUACUCGCAGAAGAAGCACCGGCUAACUCCGUGCCAGCAGCCGCGGUAAUAC
rnacentral:rRNA from 1 species